AGACCUACUAUAUCUGCUGAUUGACUGGUUGUAACAGGUUGUGGAGAAGCAUGACUGAAACAAGACAGCAGCGCUGGACCAAUCAGGAGAGAGAAGACAGAAGAUCCUGCUGACAUUCCAGAGAUUUAAUGAAGAAGAGUUUCCUGAUGCAACAGAGGGACAUCUGAGGACGGGAUGCAGAAUAAAGAGACACAGAUCAUGUGAAAUCAAUAAUGUGUCUGAUCAUCCCAGGUUGGAUCUCCCAAGCCUGUAAACCUCCACCUUCAACACCAUCAGUUAGGUGGAGGAAGAUAAG